GCCAGGCGUGGUGGCGCUUGCCUGUAAUCCCAGCUACUCAGGAGGCUGAGGCAGGAGAAUCGCUUGAGCCCAGGAGGCGGAGGUUGCAGUGAGCAGAGAUGGCACCACUGUACUCCAGCCUGGGCAACAAGAGUGAAACCCUGUCUCAA
rnacentral:sRNA from 1 species